AUGGGCAUAAAAGUUUUGAAGAAAUUUGUGAAGGUUGUCAUUAAGAUCUUUGAAGAGAGAUAUCUCCUUGUACCAAAUGAAGCGGACGCUACAAGGCUUCUGCAGAUGGGUGCAUCAAAUGGCUUCCCUGGUAUUUGUGGAAGCAUAAAAUGUAUGCAUUGGAGCGACAUCAUGGGUGCCGGUGACAGAAUGAUGGAGGAGCGGGAGAAGCAGGAGCUGCUCGGUCGCGCUGGCGCUAGUGAGAUCUUCCAGCAUGCGCCGACGGACAAGCCGACAUUCACGCUAGCCCAGAUCAAGGAGGCAAUCCCUCCUCACUGCUUCCAGUGCUCGGUGAUCAAGUCCUUCUCCUAUGUGGUCUAUGACCUCGUCAUCAGUGUGUCCCUCCUGUUCGCCGCCUUGGUCUGGAUCCCAGCACUCCCGAGCAUGCAACAACUGGGCGCCUGUCCGCUCUACUGGGUGCCUCAUUUUGAUUUUUUUACCUUGGUGGGUUUGUAUUCAGAAAAUUAA
rnacentral:rRNA from 1 species